rnacentral:rRNA from 1 species
AGUGAACGCUGGCGGUAGGCCUAACACAUGCAAGUCGAACGGCAGCGCAGUAAGAGCUUGCUCUUACGGGUGGCGAGUGGCGGACGGGUGAGGAAUACAUCGGAAUCUACUUUUUCGUGGGGGAUAACGUAGGGAAACUUACGCUAAUACCGCAUACGACCUACGGGUGAAAGCAGGGGAUCUUCGGACCUUGCGCGAUUGAAUGAGCCGAUGUCGGAUUAGCUAGUUGGCGGGGUAAAGGCCCACCAAGGCGACGAUCCGUAGCUGGUCUGAGAGGAUGAUCAGCCACACUGGAACUGAGACACGGUCCAGACUCCUACGGGAGGCAGCAGUGGGGAAUAUUGGACAAUGGGCGCAAGCCUGAUCCAGCCAUACCGCGUGGGUGAAGAAGGCCUUCGGGUUGUAAAGCCCUUUUGUUGGGAAAGAAAAGCAGCAGGUGAAUACCCCGCUGUUCUGACGGUACCCAAAGAAUAAGCACCGGCUAACUUCGUG